rnacentral:lncRNA from 1 species
UGUCUUUCCUAAUUAUUUUAUUAGGAAAUGGCAUGCAAAAUGGCAGGGCCAGAAGAGUGUUUGCUUGAGCCACAGAGUCAAAAGCUGAAGGCAGGUGCUGUUGAACUGAAUGCUCCCUCCUGCACUGGGAAACCCGUCCUGCCCUGUCGGAUCCCAUCCCACCAGAGCUCUGCAAAGCUUUCAAGUCAAACCUCAGCAAGUAUUUGGGCCAGACCAGCGAGGUGCUUCCAGCUGCAGAGGAUUCAGGCUCUACCUAAUGAGGCUGCGGCGCUGAAAGGAGCUCCUCAACAAAGGAAGAAAAGAGAGCAGAAUGGUACUCAGGUUCUUCUCUCCUCUCCCACAAUAAACAGUGAGUGAAAGAUGCAUAUCGUGGCUUCUCUGUAGGCUAUAAAAUCAUUGAGAGUGGGAAUAGCUGGAUUCAGAGCCUAAAAGUCUCCUGUCCCACCAAAAUCCAGAAAGCAGAUGCUUCUAGGUAUGUACAGCCUGAGCCUGUCAUCAGUCUCUAAACAGGACAGGUCUAUGCCUGUAGGAAAGCAGAUAGAUUUCUCUAUUAACAAAACCUAAAAUCCUCUUGCCUGGCUGUUCCAGAUAAAGAGUGUUAAGAAGAGGCCUCUCCAGGUGAGACAGUUCCCCACAACCCUGAGCUCUGCUCAGCCCCAGACCUGCUCCGAGACCUCAGAUGUGCUGUUCCACUUCUCUAUUGCUUGCUUGUCUCACCUGUCCCGUGGGAUGCAUGACAUUUUCCAGUAAGGUGAGGAGAAUUCAUCAGUCGAUUUUGUACAGUGCUUUGAAGAUAACAAGUGCUGAGGGGGGAAAAAAAGAGAUGGUGCUUGAAAUGGAAAUUUUCCCGUUUCUGUCACUGUAUUUUCUCUCUUUUUAAAAAAGUACAUUCAAAUGUAGCAUCAAAGGCAGUAGUGUUGCAACACCAGCGAAAGAGCAGCUACAAUGGGGAGGUGGGAGCCAGAAACCUCCUCCUGGAGGAGCAGAUUUUGCAGUGGGAAGGACAAAAAUGCAAAUCUGAAAUCAAUCCAUCUCUCUUUCCCUUGAACGCUUUGGCCAUUUAUAACAGUUUAAAGUGAAGUCAGUCACUGAGGACAAGAAGAGAAGCUUGUAAAUCCAUUUACUACUUUCUGCACUAAAGGAGCAGCACUGAAUUUAUAGUGGAAAUGCAGUAAGUGCACAGAUGAGGUGUUCCACAUUAGCGGUAGAGGGUGGCUCAACAAUAUCACAGCAAACCUUUGAGCAAACAGAAAGCUCAUAGGCCUCGGGAGCAGAGGGAGCAGCAGCUUCAUGGGCUCAUCUUCCCCCCACUGUCCCCCCUCAGAGCUUUCAUCAAAGGCACGGAGGUGUCUGCACCAUAUCUCCUUUCGUGCCCCCAUUGGUUUGUGGUCCCAUUGUGCUGUUGGCAUGAGUCUGGAGCUUCCCCCCUCUGAAAACCUUCCUUACCAGCAUGGAGAUGGAUGGCUGUGGCAAAAAAAUGGGGGUUCUUCCCAACGUGGUGGAAUUUGGCCUCCCCAGGAGCAACAAAUCUGCUAACGGUUCAUAACGUGGUGGAAUUUGGCCUCCCCAGGAGCAGACAAAUCUGCUAAUGGCUCAGCGGGCUCAACAGCAGGCAGUGGGAAGCUCUGAAUUCCUUCCUGUCACCCCUCUUCUCGACAGCACAUGGAAACCACUUUCUGCCACUUUUUUAGCAAGACCCUGUGCCUGGGCAGAGGAGGGCUGGGAUUCCAGAGCUCCCCUUCCUGCAGCCCGUCCUGUGUGAUGGAGGCAGCAGCUCCCCCGUCUCAUUUCAGAUUCAGCUGCUGUUACGUGCACUUCUAUUAUGAGCCAUCAAUUGAUGUGAACUGUAAGAAACACAGAACCGAGCCAACCCCCUGCCUGUGCCAAGUUUGUCGCUGACAGUGAAGUCCCUUUGCAAAAGCCUCAGAGUUCAGAUGAAAUUGGAAAUGCUUUGGAGACGUGUGUGCGUCUGUAGGAUUGACCUCAUGCAAAAGUGGCAUUUUUCUAUGGGAAAGCAGCAGAUUGAUCACAGAAUGAUAUGGGGUUUGAAGGGACCUCUGGAGAUCAUCUAGUCCAACCAAAGCAGGUCCACCUGGAGCAGGUUGCACAGGGACAUGUCCAGGCAGGUUUUGAAUGUCUCCAGAGACAGAGAGUCCACCACCUCCCUGGGCAGCCUCUGCCAGGGCUCUGCCACCCUCAAAGGAAAGAAGUUCCUCCUCAUGUUUAGAUGGAACUUCUUACAUUCAGGUUUGUGCUCAUUUCCUCUUGUCCUGUCCCUGGGCACCACUGAAAAAAGACUGGCCCCAUCCUCUUGACACCCUUCCUUUAAGUAUUUAUAGGUGUUGAUCAGAUCCCCCUUCAGUCUUCUCUUCUUAAGACUAAGAAGACCCAGGUCCCUCAGCCUCUCCUUGUAAGACAGCCAAGGCAUUGAUGUGCCCCUGCCUUCCCAGCGCGUGGCUACGGAAUUAAAUCUGAAGAUGCCCCUGAAUUUGUGUGUGUAAAUGUGCACACACUCAGGCACUGCUCGAUGGCCAGUGGCUACUACAUCUCAAACACAAGGCUACGAUACCUGAAAGUGAAAAGGUACAAUAAUAUACAACAAAACCACGCAAAAAAAACCCCUGGUGCUUAGGAUCCUUCUUACAGUAUUCUGCUUAUUUUCAGCUUGUGAUGUUAUUACUAUCCGAAAGCUGGUUUGGAUUGAAAGUAAGUUUCUUAUAUUUUCUUUACUUAGCAGAUUUCAUCUGGUAUGUAAAUCACAGACUGAAUUACCUCCUAGCUAUCCCCAGGUACAAACGGGAUACAGAAAUAAGCAUCAAGGGGUGAUGCAAUUAAUCCCACUCAUGAGGAAAGGCUGUCAUUAGUCAUUUGCGGCUUCAGCACUGGUGACUUUCAAGGUGUACAAAUCUCUCGUUAGAUACAUUUCAUGUUCUGCAGAUGGCCAUUUUGUCUUCUCGCUGCAUGCACUGGAACAUGCCCAAGUAUACAAAAAUGAGAGGAACGAUUGUUAGGGCUGAAAUUUUUUGUUCGUUUUCAAUGGGAUUUUUUUUUUCUUUGCGUGGCGCACAUCCUGGGCUUUGAUAAAUGAGUCUCACUAGACACUGUGGUAAGCCAACCUCUGCUAAUAUUCAUUAUGCAGAACCCACUAGGAAAUGGUCUGAGUCAGGGAAAUGGAAAACCUUUAAAAGAUAAAAAGAUUUUUUUUUUUUAAUUUUUUUUUUCCUGACGAAACUAAUUUAUAACAUUUUACAUUUCUGGGAUAUUUUAGAAUAUUAAAACCAGAAAUUUCAGGCUUGUACGUGCUAUCGCUGUAUGCAAAACUUCAUAGCAAAGGUAUAAUGACUGAGCCACAUGCAAAGAUACAGACAGGAUACUUUUUUAGAUCACAGAAAAUGUAUUCAACGGUGACUUAGGAGCCUGGUGUUAAAGAAUCUGAAAGAAGCCACCAAGGUGGGAGCUGAUACCCAGGAACUUGUCACUUUGGCCUGUCCUAAUGGUAGCCUGUUUCUCCAGCUUCUGAAAAGUUGCAUCAGAUUAACGAAUAAUGUGAUUCUUUUUAACAGAUUCCAAUGAGCCACUGUCAUUUUGUGUGCACUUGAACGUUUGUGAAUAUGCUUAAACUGAUUUAAAUCUCAUUUUCAUUACUUUUGCUUUCGUUGCAACCCAUGCAGGCAGUUUUACAUGGAGGGAACUGUGUCCAGGAGGAGCUCACAACCAUCCAGAGCAUUGUCCUUCAAGUGGUCUGAGACUUCCAAAAGGUUCUCCAGCGAUACGUGUGAAAAUGAGAUUUUAAAUUCCUGAGAUUUCUACAGCAAAGAAAACAAACCAGAAAAACCCCUAAAGCAAACAGAUUUCAGCUAAAGGGCUGGUAUUCAGAUAUUACAAAGGGGAGGAAAGAAUAUAAUCCUUUUUUGUGAGUGGAGUUAGGUCAUCUGUAAAAGCCUCUCAGAAUAUUAUCUUCCAAGCUAAUCGCUGUAUUGACAUUUGCCUGUUUCAUUAGAGCUGAGUUUUUACUGCAUUGCUGAGGUUAGAACCUGACUCAUCUGUCAUGGUCAAGGGCUGGUUUGUAAUUUCAUGACUGUAGAAUAAAAAAAAUAAAUCUCUCUCCCUUAUUCUAUCU